AGAGUUUGAUCAUGGCUCAGAUUGAACGCUGGCGGCAGGCCUAACACAUGCAAGUCGAGCGGUAGCACAGAGAGCUUGCUCUCGGGUGACGAGCGGCGGACGGGUGAGUAAUGUCUGGGAAACUGCCUGAUGGAGGGGGAUAACUACUGGAAACGGUAGCUAAUACCGCAUAACGUCGCAAGACCAAAGUGGGGGACCUUCGGGCCUCAUGCCAUCAGAUGUGCCCAGAUGGGAUUAGCUAGUAGGUGGGGUAACGGCUCACCUAGGCGACGAUCCCUAGCUGGUCUGAGAGGAUGACCAGCCACACUGGAACUGAGACACGGUCCAGACUCCUACGGAGGCAGCAGUGGGGAAUAUUGCACAAUGGGCGCAAGCCUGAUGCAGCCAUGCCGCGUGUGUGAAGAAGGCCUUCGGGUUGUAAAGCACUUUCAGCGGGGAGGAAGGCGUUAAGGUUAAUAACCUUGGCGAUUGACGUUACCCGCAGAAGAAGCACCGGCUAACUCCGUGCCAGCAGCCGCGGUAAUACGGAGGGUGCAAGCGUUAAUCGGAAUUACUGGGCGUAAAGCGCACGCAGGCGGUCUGUCAAGUCGGAUGUGAAAUCCCCGGGCUCAACCUGGGAACUGCAUUCGAAACUGGCAGGCUAGAGUCUUGUAGAGGGGGGUAGAAUUCCAGGUGUAGCGGUGAAAUGCGUAGAGAUCUGGAGGAAUACCGGUGGCGAAGGCGGCCCCCUGGACAAAGACUGACGCUCAGGUGCGAAAGCGUGGGGAGCAAACAGGAUUAGAUACCCUGGUAGUCCACGCCGUAAACGAUGUCGAUUUGGAGGUUGUGCCCUUGAGGCGUGGCUUCCGGAGCUAACGCGUUAAAUCGACCGCCUGGGGAGUACGGCCGCAAGGUUAAAACUCAAAUGAAUUGACGGGGGCCCGCACAAGCGGUGGAGCAUGUGGUUUAAUUCGAUGCAACGCGAAGAACCUUACCUGGUCUUGACAUCCACAGAACUUUCCAGAGAUGGAUUGGUGCCUUCGGGAACUGUGAGACAGGUGCUGCAUGGCUGUCGUCAGCUCGUGUUGUGAAAUGUUGGGUUAAGUCCCGCAACGAGCGCAACCCUUAUCCUUUGUUGCCAGCGGUUAGGCCGGGAACUCAAAGGAGACUGCCAGUGAUAAACUGGAGGAAGGUGGGGAUGACGUCAAGUCAUCAUGGCCCUUACGACCAGGGCUACACACGUGCUACAAUGGCAUAUACAAAGAGAAGCGACCUCGCGAGAGCAAGCGGACCUCAUAAAGUAUGUCGUAGUCCGGAUUGGAGUCUGCAACUCGACUCCAUGAAGUCGGAAUCGCUAGUAAUCGUAGAUCAGAAUGCUACGGUGAAUACGUUCCCGGGCCUUGUACACACCGCCCGUCACACCAUGGGAGUGGGGUUGCAAAAGAAGUAGGUAGCUUAACCUUCGGGAGGGCGCUUACCACUUUGUGAUUCAUGACUGGGGUGAAGUCGUAACAAGGUAACCGUAGGGGAACCUGCGGUUGGAUCACCU
rnacentral:rRNA from 1 species